rfam:Gossypium raimondii Chr10_contig_434, whole genome shotgun sequence.
UGUUAAAAUAUUCAUCCAUUUGUACGGUUGGCAUAGUUGAUAGAAUAAUAAGAUAGUAACACGUGACAUAUCAUUUUAUAUCUCAUGCUGACGUAUAGAGACCAAUUUUCAACAAUAAAAAUUGAUAAAAUUUUUAACA